rnacentral:tRNA from 1 species
GCCGGAUUAGCUCAACAGGAAGAGCACCUGUCUCGUAAACAGGCGGUGCGGGUUCGAGGCCCGCAUCCGGCUCAA